rnacentral:rRNA from 1 species
UACGUAGGGUGCGAGCGUUGUCCGGAAUUAUUGGGCGUAAAGGGCUCGUAGGCGGUCUGUCACGUCGGGAGUGAAAACUCAGGGCUUAACCCUGAGCCUGCUUCCGAUACGGGCUGACUAGAGGUAUGCAGGGGAGACCGGAAUUCCUGGUGUAGCGGUGAAAUGCGCAGAUAUCAGGAGGAACACCGGUGGCGAAGGCGGUUCUCUGGGCAUUACCUGACGCUGAGGAGCGAAAGUGUGGGGAGCGAACAGG